rnacentral:rRNA from 1 species
UACGUAGGGUGCGAGCGUUAAUCGGAAUUACUGGGCGUAAAGCGUGCGCAGGCGGUUCGUUGUGUCUGAUGUGAAAGCCCCGGGCUCAACCUGGGAAUGGCAUUGGAAACUGGCGAGCUGGAGUGUGGCAGAGGGGGGUGGAAUUCCGCGUGUAGCAGUGAAAUGCGUAGAGAUGCGGAGGAACACCGAUGGCGAAGGCAGCCCCCCUGGGCCAACACUGACGCUCAGGCACGAAAGCGUGGGGAGCAAACAGG